rnacentral:sRNA from 17 species
AUGCUCCUUGUUGUGUUAAGUGUUGGCAGAUAUUCGGACUCUUCGGGGUCCGGAGUUGAACCCCGGGCUUCUUCCUCCCCCACACGAAGUCCGGGUUUUUUUUGCCCGGAA